UACGAAGGGGACUAGCGUUGUUCGGAAUUACUGGGCGUAAAGCGCGCGUAGGCGGAUCGCUAAGUCAGGGGUGAAAUCCCAGGGCUCAACCCUGGAACUGCCUUUGAUACUGACGAUCUGGAGAUCGGGAGAGGUUGGUGGAAUUCCGAGUGUAGAGGUGAAAUUCGUAGAUAUUCGGAGGAACACCAGAAGCGAAGGCGGCCAACUGGCCCGAUACUGACGCUGAGGCGCGAAAGGCGUGGGGAGCAAACAGG
rnacentral:rRNA from 1 species